rnacentral:tRNA from 1 species
GCCGGUGUGUUGGAAUGGUAGACGAGGAGGACUCAAAAUCCUUUGGUAGCGAUACCGUGUGGGUUCGAGUCCCACCACCGGCACCA